rfam:Sorghum bicolor cultivar BTx623 chromosome 8, whole genome shotgun sequence.
GCUGUUGUAUUCACUUUAAUCCAUAUGUGUUGGUGUGGAUUGAGGUGGAAUUUAGUUCAAGUUCCACACUUCAAUCCACCUCAACACAUGUGGAUUGAUGUGAAUCCGACA